rnacentral:rRNA from 1 species
CAGUCGCCGCGGGAAUACGAAGGGUGCAAGCGUUAAUCGGAAUUACUGGGCGUAAAGCGUGCGUAGGCGGUGAGUUAAGUCUGCUGUGAAAUCCCCGAGCUCAACCUGGGAAUGGCAGUGGAUACUGGCUCGCUAGAGUGUGUCAGAGGAUGGUGGAAUUCCCGGUGUAGCGGUGAAAUGCGUAGAGAUCGGGAGGAACAUCAGUGGCGAAGGCGGCCAUCUGGGACAACACUGACGCUGAGGUGCGAAAGCGUGGGGAGCAAACAGGAUUAGAUACCCCCGUAGUCCCUGUCUCUUAUAC